CGACCGCUGGCGGCGUGCUUAACACAUGCAAGUCGAACGGAAAGGCCUCUUUCGGGGGGUACUCGAGUGGCGAACGGGUGAGUAACACGUGAGUAACCUGCCCUUGACUUUGGGAUAACUUCAGGAAACUGGGGCUAAUACCGGAUAGGAGCUCCUGCUGCAUGGUGGGGGUUGGAAAGUUUCGGCGGUUGGGGAUGGACUCGCGGCUUAUCAGCUUGUUGGUGGGGUAGUGGCUUACCAAGGCUUUGACGGGUAGCCGACCUGAGAGGGUGACCGGCCACAUUGGGACUGAGAUACGGCCCAGACUCCUACGGGAGGCAGCAGUGGGGAAUAUUGCACAAUGGGUGGAAGCCUGAUGCAGCAACGCCGUGUGCGGGAUGACGGCCUUCGGGUUGUAAACCGCUUUCGCUCAUGACGAAGCUUUGUGUGACGGUAGUGGGUAAAGAAGCACCGGCUAACUACGUG
rnacentral:rRNA from 1 species